rnacentral:misc_RNA from 1 species
CGCACAUUGCGCCCUCUGGUAUUCCGGAGGGCAUGCCUGUUCGAGCGUCAUUAAACGAAACUCAGGUACGCUCUGUACUUGGCAUUGGGCUCCUUCGCCUGCGCCUCACGGCCAGGCGGGCCUCAAACCUAUCGGCAGCGACGGCGAGGACCGGGCGUAGUAAAUAUUCCGUCUUGCGGGACUCGCAGUCGUUCGCUACUAGAAACACAAACUUUCUAAAAGUUGACCUCGGAUCAGGUAGGGAUACCCGCUGAACUUAA